rnacentral:rRNA from 1 species
ACGGGAGGCAGCAGUGGGGAAUAUUGGGCAAUGGGGGAAACCCUGACCCGGCAACGCCGCGUGAAGGAAGAAGGCCUUCGGGUUGUAAACUUCUUUUACCAGGGACGAAGAACGUGACGGUACCUGGAGAAAAAGCAACGGCUAACUACGUGCCAGCAGCCGCGGUAAUACGUAGGUUGCAAGCGUUGUCCGGAUUUACUGGGUGUAAAGGGCGCGUAGGCGGAGCUGCAAGUCAGAUGUGAAAUCCCGGGGCUCAACCCCGGAACUGCAUUUGAAACUGUAGCCCUUGAGUAUCGGAGAGGCAAGCGGAAUUCCUUGUGUGGCGGUGAAAUGCGUAGAUAUAAGGAAGAACACCAGUGGCGAAGGCGGUCUACUGGACAGUAACUGACGCUGAGGCGCGAAAGCGUGGGGAGCAAACAGGAUUAGAUACCCUGGUA